CGGAGGGUGCAAGCGUUAUCCGGAUUCACUGGGUUUAAAGGGUGCGUAGGAGGGCAGGUAAGUCAGUGGUGAAAUCUCCAAGCUUAACUUGGAAACUGCCGUUGAUACUAUCUGUCUUGAAUAUUGUGGAGGUGAGCGGAAUAUGUCAUGUAGCGGUGAAAUGCUUAGAUAUGACAUAGAACACCAAUUGCGAAGGCAGCUCACUACUCAAUCAUUGACUCUGAGGCACGAAAGCGUGGGGAUCAAACAGG
rnacentral:rRNA from 1 species